UUAAGCGACUAAGCGUACACGGUGGAUGCCCUGGCAGUCAGAGGCGAUGAAGGACGUGCUAAUCUGCGAAAAGCGUCGGUAAGGUGAUAUGAACCGUUAUAACCGGCGAUGUCCGAAUGGGGAAACCCAGUGCAAUUCGUUGCACUAUCGUUAACUGAAUACAUAGGUUAACGAGGCGAACCGGGGGAACUGAAACAUCUAAGUACCCCGAGGAAAAGAAAUCAACCGAGAUUCCCCCAGUAGCGGCGAGCGAACGGGGAGCAGCCCAGAGUCUGAAUCAGCUUGUGUGUUAGUGGAACGGUCUGGAAAGUCCGACGGUACAGGGUGAUAGUCCCGUACACCAAAAUGCACAGGCUGUGAACUCGAAGAGUAGGGCGGGACACGUGGUAUCCUGUCUGAAUAUGGGGGGACCAUCCUCCAAGGCUAAAUACUCCUGACUGACCGAUAGUGAACCAGUACCGUGAGGGAAAGGCGAAAAGAACCCCGGCGAGGGGAGUGAAAAAGAACCUGAAACCGUGUACGUACAAGCAGUGGGAGCACCUUCGGUGUGACUGCGUACCUUUUGUAUAAUGGGUCAGCGACUUAUAUUCUGUAGCAAGGUUAACCGUAUAGGGGAGCCGCAGGGAAACCGAGUCUUAACUGGGCGUUAAGUUGCAGGGUAUAGACCCGAAACCCGGUGAUCUAGCCAUGGGCAGGUUGAAGGUUGGGUAACACUAACUGGAGGACCGAACCGACUAAUGUUGAAAAAUUAGCGGAUGACUUGUGGCUGGGGGUGAAAGGCCAAUCAAACCGGGAGAUAGCUGGUUCUCCCCGAAAGCUAUUUAGGUAGCGCCUCGUGAACUCAUCUUCGGGGGUAGAGCACUGUUUCGGCUAGGGGGUCAUCCCGACUUACCAACCCGAUGCAAACUACGAAUACCGAAGAAUGUUAUCACGGGAGACACACGGCGGGUGCUAACGUCCGUCGUGAAGAGGGAAACAACCCAGACCGCCAGCUAAGGUCCCAAAGUCAUGGUUAAGUGGGAAACGAUGUGGGAAGGCACAGACAGCCAGGAUGUUGGCUUAGAAGCAGCCAUCAUUUAAAGAAAGCGUAAUAGCUCACUGGUCGAGUCGGCCUGCGCGGAAGAUGUAACGGGGCUAAACCAUGCACCGAAGCUGCGGCAGCGACACUAUGUGUUGUUGGGUAGGGGAGCGUUCUGUAAGCCUGCGAAGGUGUGCUGUGAGGCAUGCUGGAGGUAUCAGAAGUGCGAAUGCUGACAUAAGUAACGAUAAAGCGGGUGAAAAGCCCGCUCGCCGGAAGACCAAGGGUUCCUGUCCAACGUUAAUCGGGGCAGGGUGAGUCGACCCCUAAGGCGAGGCCGAAAGGCGUAGUCGAUGGGAAACAGGUUAAUAUUCCUGUACUUGGUGUUACUGCGAAGGGGGGACGGAGAAGGCUAUGUUAGCCGGGCGACGGUUGUCCCGGUUUAAGCAUGUAGGCUGGUUGUCCAGGCAAAUCCGGAUAAUCAAGGCUGAGGUGUGAUGACGAGGCACUACGGUGCUGAAGUAACAAAUGCCCUGCUUCCAGGAAAAGCCUCUAAGCAUCAGGUAACAUCAAAUCGUACCCCAAACCGACACAGGUGGUCAGGUAGAGAAUACCAAGGCGCUUGAGAGAACUCGGGUGAAGGAACUAGGCAAAAUGGUGCCGUAACUUCGGGAGAAGGCACGCUGGUGUGUAGGUGAAGCCCCUGCGGGUGGAGCUGAGACCAGUCGAAGAUACCAGCUGGCUGCAACUGUUUAUUAAAAACACAGCACUGUGCAAACACGAAAGUGGACGUAUACGGUGUGACGCCUGCCCGGUGCCGGAAGGUUAAUUGAUGGGGUUAUCCGUAAGGAGAAGCUCUUGAUCGAAGCCCCGGUAAACGGCGGCCGUAACUAUAACGGUCCUAAGGUAGCGAAAUUCCUUGUCGGGUAAGUUCCGACCUGCACGAAUGGCGUAAUGAUGGCCAGGCUGUCUCCACCCGAGACUCAGUGAAAUUGAACUCGCUGUGAAGAUGCAGUGUACCCGCGGCAAGACGGAAAGACCCCGUGAACCUUUACUAUAGCUUGACACUGAACAUUGAGCCUUGAUGUGUAGGAUAGGUGGGAGGCUUUGAAGCGUGGACGCCAGUCUGCGUGGAGCCAACCUUGAAAUACCACCCUUUAAUGUUUGAUGUUCUAACGUUGGCCCCUUACCGGGGUUGCGGACAGUGUCUGGUGGGUAGUUUGACUGGGGCGGUCUCCUCCCAAAGCGUAACGGAGGAGCACGAAGGUUAGCUAAUCCUGGUCGGACAUCAGGAGGUUAGUGCAAUGGCAUAAGCUAGCUUGACUGCGAGCGUGACGGCGCGAGCAGGUGCGAAAGCAGGUCAUAGUGAUCCGGUGGUUCUGAAUGGAAGGGCCAUCGCUCAACGGAUAAAAGGUACUCCGGGGAUAACAGGCUGAUACCGCCCAAGAGUUCAUAUCGACGGCGGUGUUUGGCACCUCGAUGUCGGCUCAUCACAUCCUGGGGCUGAAGUAGGUCCCAAGGGUAUGGCUGUUCGCCAUUUAAAGUGGUACGCGAGCUGGGUUUAGAACGUCGUGAGACAGUUCGGUCCCUAUCUGCCGUGGGCGCUGGAGAAUUGAGGGGGGCUGCUCCUAGUACGAGAGGACCGGAGUGGACGCAUCACUGGUGUUCGGGUUGUCAUGCCAAUGGCACUGCCCGGUAGCUAAAUGCGGAAGAGAUAAGUGCUGAAAGCAUCUAAGCACGAAACUUGCCCCGAGAUGAGUUCUCCCUGAGACUUUAAGUCUCCUGAAGGAACGUUAAAGACGAUGACGUUGAUAGGCCGGGUGUGUAAGCGCAGCGAUGCGUUGAGCUAACCGGUACUAAUGAACCGUGAGGCUUAACCUU
rnacentral:rRNA from 1 species